rnacentral:rRNA from 1 species
ACGCUGGCGACGGCUACACAUGCGUUCAAGCGCGCCUCGGGUGAGCCGCGGACGGUAUUAGUAACGCGUGGGAACGUGCCCUUCUCUACGGAAUAGCCUCUGGAAACGGAGAGUAAUACCGUAUACGCCCUUUGGGGGAAAGAUUAUCGGAGAAGGAUCGGCCCGCGUUAGAUUAGGUAGUUGGUGGGGUAACGGCCUACCAAGCCUACGAUCUAUAGCUGGUUUUAGAGGAUGAUCAGCAACACUGGGACUGAGACACGGCCCAGACUCCUACGGGAGGCAGCAGUGGGGAAUCUUAGACAAUGGGGGCAACCCUGAUCUAGCCAUGCCGCGUGAGUGAUGAAGGCCUUAGGGUCGUAAAGCUCUUUCGCCUGUGAUGAUAAUGACAGUAGCAGGUAAAGAAACCCCGGCUAACUCCGUGCCAGCAGCCGCGGUAAUACGGAGGGGGUUAGCGUUGUUCGGAAUUACUGGGCGUAAAGCGCGCGUAGGCGGAUUAGAAAGUUGGGGGUGAAAUCCCGGGGCUCAACCCCGGAACUGCCUCCAAAACUGCUAGUCUAGAGUUCGAGAGAGGUGAGUGGAAUUCCGAGUGUAGAGGUGAAAUUCGUAGAUAUUCGGAGGAACACAGUGGCGAAGGCGGCUCACUGGCUCGAUACUGACCUGAGGUGCGAAGUGUGGGAGCAACGGAUAGAUACCUGGUAGUCACCCGUAACGAUGAAGCC